rnacentral:rRNA from 1 species
AUUGCCCUAGUAACGGCGAGUGAAGCGGCAACAGCUCAAAUUUGAAAUCUGGCCCUCGGGUCCGAGUUGUAAUUUGUAGAGGAUGCUUUUGGUGCGGUGCCUUCCGAGUUCCCUGGAACGGGACGCCAUAGAGGGUGAGAGCCCCGUCUGGUCGGAUACCAAUCCUCUGUAAAGCUCCUUCGACGAGUCGAGUAGUUUGGGAAUGCUGCUCUAAAUGGGAGGUAUAUGUCUUCUAAAGCUAAAUAUUGGCCAGAGACCGAUAGCGCACAAGUAGAGUGAUCGAAAGAUGAAAAGCACUUUGAAAAGAGGGUUAAACAGUACGUGAAAUUGUUGAAAGGGAAGCGCUUGUGACCAGACUUGGGCCCGGUUAAUCAUCCAGCGUUCUCGCUGGUGCACUUGGCCGGCCCAGGCCAGCAUCAGUUCGGCGCGGGGGACAAAGGCUUCGGGAAUGUGGCUCCCCCGGGAGUGUUAUAGCCCGUUGCGUAAUACCCUGCGCUGGACUGAGGUUCGCGCAUCUGCAAGGAUGCUGGCGUAAUGGUCAUCAGCGACCCGUCUUGAAACACGGACCAAGGAGUCGUCUUCGUAUGCGAGUGUUCGGGUGUCAAACCCCUACGCGUAAUGAAAGUGAACGCAGGUGAGAGCUUCGGCGCAUCAUCGACCGAUCCUGAUGUUCUCGGAUGGAUUUGAGUAGGAGCAUACGGGGCCGGACCCGAAAGAAGGUGAACUAUGCCUGUAUAGGGUGAAGCCAGAGGAAACUCUGGUGGAGGCUCGCAGCGGUUCUGACGUGCAAAUCGAUCGUCAAAUAUGGGCAUGGGGGCGAAAGACUAAU